GCUCGCUAUCUAACCGAUAACCCACGUAAUACCUCACCAGCUUUUGAAUUAAACAGCUUGUAUACCAUCGUCGUCAGUUUACUUCACAAGAAACGUAAACAAAAAGAAUUAAAACUUCCUGACGUCAGAUCGAGGUGCAGCUAAUAGGCUGGGGAUAAGUGAGCUACAAUUAAAAUAACAAAAUAAAUACCAUUAAUGAACGACAGGUUGAUAACCCGGUCUGAAACAGGAUUCAGAAGUAAUGAGUAAAAGAAAAUACUCAUGAACAACAAAGCUCUAGAACGCGC
rnacentral:rRNA from 1 species